rnacentral:rRNA from 1 species
GAUGAACGCUGGCGGCGUGCUUAAUACAUGCAAGUCGAACGAACAAGCCCAGCUUUUUCGGCGGUUUAGUUGGGAACGGGCGAGUAACUCACGAGUAACUUGCCUUCAUCUCUGGGUUAAGUCUGGUAGACUGGGUGUAAUACCUGCCAGGAGCUUUCUCCGCCCGCUGGGUGCUGGAGAGAUAUAGCGGUUUUGGAUCGACUCGCGGCCAAUCCGCUCGUUGGUGAGGUAAUGGCUCACCAAGGCGUCGCCGGGUAGCCGGCCCGGGAGGGUGACCGGCCACACUGGGACUGAGACACGGCCCAGACUCCUACGGGAGGCAGCGGUGGGGAAUAUUGCGCAAUGGGCGCGAGCCAGAUGCAGCGACGCCGCGUGAGGGAUGACGGCCUUCGGGUUGUAAACCUCUUUCAGAAGGGAAGAAGCGAAAGUGACGGUACCUGAAGAGGAAGCACCGGCUAACUACGUG